UGGGGAAUUUUACGCAAUGGGCGAAAGCCUGACGUAGCGACACCGCGUGAGCGAAGAAGCCCUUUGGGGUGUAAAGCUCUGUCAGCAGGGACGAAACUAUGACGGUACCUGCAGAGGAAGCAUCGGCUAACUACGUGCCAGCAGCCGCGGUAAGACGUAGGAUGCAAGCGUUGUCCGGAUUCAUUGGGCGUAAAGAGUUCGUAGGCGGUUUGUUAAGUCUGGUGUAAAAGGCUCGGGCCCAACCCGGGUAUAGCACUGGAUACUGGCAGACUGGAGUGCAGUAGAGGCGAGUGGAAUUCCCAGUGUAGCGGUGAAAUGCGUAGAUAUUGGGAAGAACACCGGUGGCGCAGGCGACUCGCUGGGCUGUAACUGACGCUGAGGAACGAAAGCUAGGGGAGCAAAUGGGAUUAGAUACCCCUGUAGUCC
rnacentral:rRNA from 1 species